rnacentral:rRNA from 1 species
UACGUAGGGGGCAAGCGUUGUCCGGAAUCAUUGGGCGUAAAGAGCGUGUAGGCGGCCCGAUAAGUCCGCUGUGAAAGUCCAGGGCUCAACCCUGGAAUGCCGGUGGAUACUGUCGGGCUCGAAUCCGGAAGAGGUGAGUGGAAUUCCUGGUGUAGCGGUGAAAUGCGCAGAUAUCAGGAGGAACACCAAUGGCGAAGGCAGCUCACUGGGACGUUAUUGACGCUGAGACGCGAAAGCGUGGGGAGCAAACAGG